rfam:Lutibacter agarilyticus strain DSM 29150 genome assembly, contig: Ga0170404_117
UAAGGUGGUUAUAGCGAUAGGGCUCACCUCUUCCCAUCCCGAACAGAGAAGUUAAGCCUAUCAGCGCAGAUGGUACUGCCACUAUGGUGGGAGAGUAUGUCACCGCCUUUC